UCNAGAGUUUUGUUCUGGCUCAGGAUGAACGCUGGCGGCGUGCUUAACACAUGCAAGUCGAACGAUGAUCCCAGCUUGCUGGGGGAUUAGUGGCGAACGGGUGAGUAACACGUGAGUAACCUGCCCUUAACUCUGGGAUAAGCCUGGGAAACUGGGUCUAAUACCGGAUAUGACUCCUCAUCGCAUGGUGGGGGGUGGAAAGCUUUUUGUGGUUUUGGAUGGACUCGCGGCCUAUCAGCUUGUUGGUGAGGUAAUGGCUCACCAAGGCGACGACGGGUAGCCGGCCUGAGAGGGUGACCGGCCACACUGGGACUGAGACACGGCCCAGACUCCUACGGGAGGCAGCAGUGGGGAAUAUUGCACAAUGGGCGAAAGCCUGAUGCAGCGACGCCGCGUGAGGGAUGACGGCCUUCGGGUUGUAAACCUCUUUCAGUAGGGAAGAAGCGAAAGUGACGGUACCUGCAGAAGAAGCGCCGGCUAACUACGUGCCAGCAGCCGCGGUAAUACGUAGGGCGCAAGCGUUAUCCGGAAUUAUUGGGCGUAAAGAGCUCGUAGGCGGUUUGUCGCGUCUGCCGUGAAAGUCCGGGGCUCAACUCCGGAUCUGCGGUGGGUACGGGCAGACUAGAGUGAUGUAGGGGAGACUGGAAUUCCUGGUGUAGCGGUGAAAUGCGCAGAUAUCAGGAGGAACACCGAUGGCGAAGGCAGGUCUCUGGGCAUUAACUGACGCUGAGGAGCGAAAGCAUGGGGAGCGAACAGGAUUAGAUACCCUGGUAGUCCAUGCCGUAAACGUUGGGCACUAGGUGUGGGGGACAUUCCACGUUUUCCGCGCCGUAGCUAACGCAUUAAGUGCCCCGCCUNGGGAGNCGCNGNC
rnacentral:rRNA from 1 species